GACGAACGCUGGCGGCGUGCCUAAUACAUGCAAGUAGGACGCAGUUGCGAACGGGUGAGUAACGCGUAGGUAACUGCCUAGUAGAGGGGGAGAACUAUUGGAAACGAUAGCUAAAACCGCAUACUAGUAGAUGGACCGACGUUGGAUUAGCUAGUAGGUAGGGUAAUGGCCUACCUAGGCAACGAUAAAUAGCCGACCUGAGAGGGGGAUCGGCCCAACUUGCACUGAGACACGGCCCAGACUCCUACGGGAGUCAGCAGUAGGGACUCUUCGGCAAUUGGGGUAACCCUGACCGAGCAACGCCGCGUGAGUGAAGAAGGUUUUCGGAUCGUAACGCUCUGUUGUUAAGGAAGCGGUACUUAACCAGAAAGGGACGGCUAACUACGUGCCAGCCGCCGCGGUAAUAC
rnacentral:rRNA from 1 species